GCCUACGGGAGGCUGCAGUCGAGGAUCUUCGGCAAUGGGCGCAAGCCUGACCGAGCGACGCCGCGUGUGCGAUGAAGGCCUUCGGGUUGUAAAGCACUGUCGAGGGGGAGGAAGCCGCAAGGUUGACCUAUCCCUGGAGGAAGCACGGGCUAAGUUCGUGCCAGCAGCCGCGGUAAGACGAACCGUGCAAACGUUGUUCGGAAUCACUGGGCUUAAAGGGUGUGUAGGCGGGCCAGCCAGUCUGUGGUGAAAGCCUCCAGCUUAACUGGAGAAGUGCCGUGGAUACUGCUGGUCUUGAGGAGGGUAGGGGCAUCUGGAACGGUCGGUGGAGCGGUGAAAUGCGUUGAUAUCGACCGGAACUCCGGUGGCGAAGGCGAGGUGCUGGACCCUUUCUGACGCUGAAACACGAAAGCCAGGGGAGCAAACGGGAUUAGAUACCCCGGUAGUCCUC
rnacentral:rRNA from 1 species